rnacentral:rRNA from 1 species
UACGAAGGGUGCAAUCGUUGCUCGGAAUUAUUGGGCGUAAAGCGCACGUAGGCGGCAUUGCAAGUCGGAUGUGAAAUCUUAUGGCUUAACCAUAAAAGUGCAUCCGAAACUGCAGUGCUUGAGUACUUAAGAGGAUCGCGGAAUUCCCGGUGUAGAGGUGAAAUUCGUAGAUAUCGGGAGGAACACCAGUGGCGAAGGCGGCGAUCUGGGAAGAUACUGACGCUGAGGUGCGAAAGCGUGGGGAGCAAACAGG